UUGCAUAUUAUCUAAAGCUAUCAACCGAGUAUCAUAUACUUCCUCUGCUUUGUCUUUCAUUAAAUUACUGUAUUCAUCAGCCGACAAAUCUUUUUACUUUUCUGUCCUCAAAGAAAGAACUGUUAUCUCGGCUAGAAUUACGGCCUCAUGUCCGUAAACUAAUUGGAAUGGAUCAUCCAUGUUGCCGUUUUCACUGAAGUUCGGCAUGCCCAUA
rnacentral:lncRNA from 1 species